GCUUGUCUCAAAGAUUAAGCCAUGCAUGUCUAAGUAUAAACGAAUUUAUACUGUGAAACUGCGAAUGGCUCAUUACAUCAGUUAUAGUUUAUUUGAUGGUCCUUGCUACUUGGAUAACCGUAGUAAUUCUAGAGCUAAUACAUGCAUAAAACCCUAACUUCUGGAAAGGGUGUAUUUAUUAGAUACAAAACCAACCCGGGCAACCGGUCCUUUGGUGAUUCAUGAUAACUUUGCGAAUCGCAUAGCUUUAAUGCUGGCGAUGGGUCAUUCAAAUUUCUGCCCUAUCAACUUUCGACGGUAGGAUAGAGGCCUACUGUGGUGAUAACGGGUAACGAAGAAUAAGGGUUCGAUUUCGGAGAGGGAGCCUGAGAAACGGCUACCACAUCCAAGGAAGGCAGCAGG
rnacentral:rRNA from 1 species